CCUACGGGUGGCUGCAGUGGGGAAUUUUGGACAAUGGGGGAAACCCUGAUGCAGCGACGCCGCGUGAGUGAAGAAGUAUUUCGGUAUGUAAAGCUCUAUUAGCAGGGAAGAAAAUGACGGUACGUGAUUAAGAAGCCCCGGAUAACUACGUGCCAGCAGCCGCGGUAAUACGUCGGGGGCAAGCGGUAUCCGGUUUUACUGGGUGUAAAGGGAGCGUAGACGGCAGCACGUGUCCGGAAUGAAAUGCCGGGGCUUAAACCCGGAACUGCUUUGGAAACUGUGCAGCUAGAGUGCAGGAGAGGUAAGUGGAAUUCCUGGUGUAGCGGUGAAAUGCGUAGAUAUUAGGAGGAACACCAGUGGAGAAGGCGGCUUACUGGACUGUAACUGACGUUGAGGCACGAAAGCGUGGGGAGCAAACAGGAUUAGAUACCCGAGUAGUC
rnacentral:rRNA from 1 species